rnacentral:tRNA from 1 species
UCCCUGAUGGUCCAGUGGUUAGGAUCUGCACUUUCACUGUUGAGGGCCCAGGUUUGAUCCCUGGUUAGGGAA